rnacentral:lncRNA from 1 species
UGAGGCCUCGUGCACGUGCUUCAUCAGUUGGCAAACUAUUCUUUUUUUUUUUUUUUUCAGGCCAUAGCAUUACCCAAGCAUGGAGCAAUUGAACCACAGCUGAGAAUGCAAUCGACCAAAUUAAUGAGACAACCAGAAAGAAAUCAAUUGCUUGGUGCUUGGGUGCUGUGGUUAUUAAAAAAAAAAAAAUGAAUUAGCCCAAAGAUGCUGAAUGUGGUGGGUUUCUGUCAGCUUGUUUGUACAUCUGCAUCUGAACUCCCUCUGUCUGUCACAUUCCCUGGGUGUGCAUGAGGCAAGAGGCCUAUACUUCUCACCUCACUCCGGUGUUUGAUAGCAGUUUUUAUUUUUCAUUUUAAAAUUAGGGGCUGGGGAGUUGAGAAAAAGAAUUAAGUUCAGACAUUUAGUCUUAGACAAAAUUAUAAAUCCUUUGAAGUCAACUGGAAUCAAGGAGAUUGUUGGAUGCUCCCCCAACCCCGACAACAACAAAAAAGAAAAAAAAAAAAAAAACACCUUUAAAAGCCUGACUUGCCAUCAUGUAGACCUGGGUUUAAUGUAGACUUGCAGAAAACCAUUGGUCUUGGGUAGGGCCAAUUAACAACUGAUGGACAACUGAGAGUUCACAGUUUGUUCCCUUUUGCUAUGUGGCUCAGGAAGAAUAGGUAGGGAUAGCAGUUGGAGAAGGAAGUAUAAAAUAUAAACGUUUUGUGGGUUUUUUUCUCUAUCUGCAAGGCUGCAUGAAAAACAAACCCUGUAAGAGCUGUAAAAGACAAGAGAACCGCUUGCACGCUCACCUCUCCAGAGUGAGCCCUCUGCACUGCCUCGCACUGAAGUUGUUUUCCUCCCCUGCUUCUAUACCCAGGGCUCAUGCACAUGGCUGUAGUUGAGAAAAUCCUGAGCAGGAUGUCAAUGCCUGAAACACCAUGUCAUGCUAGAUUCCAGUGAGCACAGUGGGAGGCACAGGAGGACAAGAAAUAGGGAGGGGUUGGGACAUAUCACCCCUGAUGACAAGCCACUAGCACCAGGUACCACUGGCACCAGGGGGUCUGAGUGUGUCACUGAGAUGGGCCACAGCGACAUCACAGCCCACGCGGAGUGAUCUGAACACCCUCUCACUCUUGCAAGCUAGACAGGGCUUCUAUUUACGUGAGUGACCUUCCCCGUUCUUG